GGCCCUGUGAGGCUCAGUUGGUAGAUCAUGACCCUUGCAAUGCCAUGAUCGUGUGGGUUUAACUCCCGCUGGGGCCA
rnacentral:tRNA from 1 species